GUCUGAUGCUUUUGUAUUAUCUUUCUUGCAACCAAAAGCGAGAUGACUUGUUGUUGAGGAGAUUUCAGUUGCAUGUUAACCUGUAGAGUUCUUCUGCGAAAAAUUUGGUGCUCCAUAUGAUGUAGUUAGAGGUGUUUAUGAAUAUUUUGGAUUUGGAUAGGAUUUAUAUAUGUGGUCAGUUUGACAAACAAAUGAAUAUAUGAAAUAGAAAAUGAUUCAAUG